UACGUAGGGUCCGAGCGUUGUCCGGAAUUAUUGGGCGUAAAGAGCUCGUAGGCGGUUUGUCGCGUCUGCUGUGAAAUCCCGAGGCUCAACCUCGGGUCUGCAGUGGGUACGGGCAGACUGGAGUGCGGUAGGGGAGAAUGGAAUUCCUGGUGUAGCGGUGGAAUGCGCAGAUAUCAGGAGGAACACCGAUGGCGAAGGCAGUUCUCUGGGCCGUAACUGACGCUGAGGCACGAAAGCGUGGGGAGCGAACGGG
rnacentral:rRNA from 1 species